GAUGAACGCUGGCGGCGUGCCUAAUACAUGCAAGUCGAGCGAACAGACGAGGAGCUUGCUCCCCUGACGUUAGCGGCGGACGGGUGGGUAACACGUGGAUAACCUACCUAUAAGACUGGGAUAACUUCGGGAAACCGGAGCUAAUACCGGAUAAUAUAUUGAACCGCAUGGUUCAAUAGUGAAAGACGGUUUUGCUGUCACUUAUAGAUGGAUCCGCGCCGCAUUAGCUAGUUGGUAAGGUAACGGCUUACCAAGGCAACGAUGCGUAGCCGACCUGAGAGGGUGAUCGGCCACACUGGAACUGAGACACGGUCCAGACUCCUACGGGAGGCAGCAGUAGGGAAUCUUCCGCAAUGGGCGAAAGCCUGACGGAGCAACGCCGCGUGAGUGAUGAAGGUCUUCGGAUCGUAAAACUCUGUUAUUAGGGAAGAACAAAUGUGUAAGUAACUAUGCACGUCUUGACGGUACCUAAUCAGAAAGCCACGGCUAACUACGUG
rnacentral:rRNA from 1 species